UACAGAGGGUGCAAGCGUUAAUCGGAAUUACUGGGCGUAAAGGGCGCGUAGGCGGUUUAGUAAGUUAUGUGUGAAAACUCUGGGCUUAACCUGGGACGUGCACAUAAUACUGAUAAACUAGAGUAGAGUAGAGGAAAGUGGAAUUUCCGGUGUAGCGGUGAAAUGCGUAGAUAUCGGAAGGAACACCAGUGGCGAAGGCGACUACCUGGACUGAUACUGACACUGAGGUGCGAAAGCGUGGGGAGCAAACAGGAUUAGAAACCCCGGUAGU
rnacentral:rRNA from 1 species